rnacentral:rRNA from 1 species
GACGAACGCUGGCGGCGUGCUUAACACAUGCAAGUCGAACGGAAAGGCCUGCUUUCCCUUGUGGAUUGCGGGUACUCGCGUGGCGAACGGGUGAGUAACACGUGAGUGAUCUGCCCCCAACUUGGGUAUAAGCCUGGGAAACUGGGUCUAAUUCCCGAUAGGACUGCAGGGUGGUGCCUGUGGUGGAAAACGAUUUUCUAGUGGUUGGGGAUGAGCUCGCGGCCUAUCAGCUUGUUGGUGGGGUAAUGGCCUACCAAGGCGGCGACGGGUAGCCGGCCUGGGAGGGUGGACGGCCACAUUGGGACUGAGAUACGGCCCAGACUCCUACGGGAGGCAGCAGUGGGGAAUAUGGCACAAUGGGCGGAAGCCUGAUGCAGCGACGCCGCGUGGGGGAUGACGGCCUUCGGGUUGUAAACUCCUUUCGACCGCGAGGAAGCCACCUGGUUGGAAGGGUGGUGACGGUAGUGGUAGAAGAAGCACCGGCUAACUACGUG